rnacentral:RNase_P_RNA from 1 species
UCCGCCAGUUGGGCAAUCGCUUCUCUAGAUGCCUAUCUGGAGAAGAGGAAAGUCCGGACACCUUCUUUUCUCGGAAAAUAUUCCGGGAGAAGAAACGCCUCGGGUAACGCCCGACCACCGAAAGGUGAGGGAUGCGAACAGAGACGGGGAGGCCGAAAGGUGCUCCCGCCCCUUCAAAAGAAGGGGAAGUCCCAUCGUAAGAUGGGGGUGAAACGGCUAAAUUCCGGCGGGGUGCAAGAGCAAACGAAAGCCUGAGUUUAUCUCAAGCUUUUGGUAAAAAAAGGCUCGCUUGAGCCAGGGAAAAAUCUCUGGCCCAGACAAAUGAUUGCCUAAAACAGAAUCCGGCUUACGGACUGGCGGAAGCU